AUUGAAACACUGGUUCCUGUAUGAUCACCAAAGUUAAGCAACAUUGAGCCUGGUCAGUACCUAGAUGGGUGACCACUUGGGAAUACUAGAUGUUGUAAG